UACGGAGGGUGCAAGCGUUAAUCGGAAUUACUGGGCGUAAAGCGCACGCAGGCGGCUUGUUAAGUCGGAUGUGAAAGCCCCGGGCUCAACCUGGGAAUGGCAUCUGAUACUGGGAAGCUAGAGUAUGUGAGAGGGGGGUAGAAUUCCAAGUGUAGCGGUGAAAUGCGUAGAGAUUUGGAGGAAUACCAGUGGCGAAGGCGGCCCCCUGGCACAAUACUGACGCUCAGGUGCGAAAGCGUGGGGAGCAAACAGG
rnacentral:rRNA from 1 species